AAGAUUUUAGGUUAAUAAAACUGGAAGUUUUCAAAGCUUUAGAUAAUAAUAGGGUUUAUUAAAUCUUG
rnacentral:tRNA from 1 species